CAUGUUGAGCAAGACUGGACCCAAGAUUUACUCCUGGAGGAUACCACUAGCUACAGGCCUCAGACUAGAUUCUGCCCCGUGGACUGCAACCCUCUGAGCUCUGCCAUUCAGCCARUUCUCAAUCUGCAUCACUGUCUGCUCAUCUAACCCAAACUUCCUGAGUUUACCUAUGAGAAUGCCAUGGGAGACAGUGUUGAAAGACUUGCUGAAGUUAAGGGAAGAAGGUGAGGCUGACUGACCUGUAGAUUUCUGGGUCCUCUUUCUUGCUSUUUUUGAACGCUGGAGAGACAUUUAUAAUACUUAUCACCAGCAGCUGUUCAA